UACGUAGGGUGCGAGCGUUGUCCGGAAUUAUUGGGCGUAAAGGGCUCGUAGGCGGUUUGUCACGUCGGGAGUGAAAACUCGGGGCUUAACCCCGAGCCUGCUUCCGAUACGGGCAGACUAGAGGUAUGCAGGGGGAGAACGGAAUUCCUGGUGUAGCGGUGAAAUGCGCAGAUAUCAGGAGGAACACCGGUGGCGAAGGCGGUUCUCUGGGCAUUACCUGACGCUGAGGAGCGAAAGCGUGGGGAGCAAACAGG
rnacentral:rRNA from 1 species